CAUUCUUUAGUUUUGGUUUGGACAACACAAAAAAAAAGGAAAGGGAGAAAUUUUAUUUAUUAUUUGUGUAUGGGGAGAAAAAAAUAAAAUUAAAGAACAAAUAACUUCGUCACUUUUUUAAUCAAAGUAAACAGUUCAAACAUGACGCUACACUUUAUUUUUAUAAAUCCGGGCCAUCAACGUCAUACGCUCUAUUAAAAUAGAUUUCGCGAGAAACCAAUAAUAUUCGAUCUUGGUUGGCCUUUCACCCCAAGCCUGCCUUGUAAGGAAAGAGAGGUUCUCUAGGAAGGGCCAAUAGAAAAAAACGUUGAAAUGAGAGUUGCAUUUAGUAGCGUCACCGCCUCAUCCAAAUGAGACUUAGAAAGCCUAACUGGGAGGCAGGAAGAAGACUACACAAGUGGUUGUUCAAGAAGGAAACUCUUUGACUCCGCUUGCCUCUACUUUUCAUGUCAAGUGUACAAGUGCAAUUUAGUGGGAUUAACUUCUAAAGACAUGAUUUUUUUUUUCAUCUCCUCGGGCAAGAGCAUGUACAAGCAAGUCUAAUAGAAAAAAAAUGAGUG
rnacentral:lncRNA from 1 species